CCUUGACUAUCAACUACUGA
rnacentral:snRNA from 1 species